UGAGGAAUAUUGGACAAUGGGCGCAAGCCUGAUCCAGCCAUGCCGCGUGCAGGAUGACGGUCCUAUGGAUUGUAAACUGCUUUUAUACAGGAAGAAACCCUCCGACGUGUCGGAGCUUGACGGUACUGUAAGAAUAAGGAUCGGCUAACUCCGUGCCAGCAGCCGCGGUAAUACGGAGGAUCCAAGCGUUAUCCGGAAUCAUUGGGUUUAAAGGGUCCGUAGGCGGUCAGAUAAGUCAGUGGUGAAAGCCCAUCGCUCAACGGUGGAACGGCCAUUGAUACUGUCUGACUUGAAUUAUUAGGAAGUAACUAGAAUAUGUAGUGUAGCGGUGAAAUGCUUAGAGAUUACAUGGAAUACCAAUUGCGAAGGCAGGUUACUACUAAUGGAUUGACGCGAUGGA
rnacentral:rRNA from 1 species